UACAGAGGUCCCAAGCGUUGUUCGGAUUCAUUGGGCGUAAAGGGUGUGUAGGUGGCGCCGUAAGUCGGGUGUGAAAUCUCGGGGCUUAACUCCGAAACUGCAUUCGAUACUGCGGUGCUUGAGGACUGGAGAGGAGACUGGAAUUCGAUGGUGUAGCAGUGAAAUGCGUAGAGAUCAUGAGGAAGACCAGUGGCGAAGGCGGGUCUCUGGACAGUUCCUGACACUGAGACACGAAGGCCAGGGGAGCAAACGGG
rnacentral:rRNA from 1 species